CCUACGGGUGGCAGCAGUGAGGAAUAUUGGUCAAUGGACGAGAGUCUGAACCAGCCAAGUAGCGUGAAGGAUGACUGCCCUAUGGGUUGUAAACUUCUUUUAUAAAGGAAUAAAACGAGGCACGUGUGCCUUUUUGCAUGUACUUUAUGAAUAAGGAUCGGCUAACUCCGUGCCAGCAGCCGCGGUAAUACGGAGGAUCCGAGCGUUAUCCGGAUUUAUUGGGUUUAAAGGGAGCGUAGAUGGGUUUUUAAGGCAGUUGUGAAAUUUUGCGGCUCAACCGUAAAAUUGCAAUUGAUACUGGCAGUCUUGAGUACAGUUGAUGUAAGCGGAAUUCGUGGUGUAGCGGUGAAAUGCUUAGAUAUCACGAAGAACCCCGAUUGCGAAGGCAGCUUACUAAACUGUGACUGACAUUGAUGCUCGAAAGUGUGGGUAUCAAACAGGAUUAGAUACCCUGGUAGUC
rnacentral:rRNA from 1 species